rnacentral:rRNA from 1 species
AUGUUCACCUGGCUGGCCGACCUUGACCGCUGCUGGACUGCCGAUAGACUGGCUCGCCACGGUCUCCCCCACAACGACAGAUGUGCUCUUUGCGACCAGGACGUCGAGACCAUGCAACAUAUUAUCAUCGCCUGCCCCUUCUCCAGGCAGAUUUGGCAUGAUGUCCUGUCUUGGGUGCGCGCCACCGUCCCCCCUCCGGCUGGUCCCGAAGAGUUCCUCCCAUGGUGCUCCUCGAUGAUCAUGAGCUCCCCCACAGGGCACCGCAAGGGGCUUGCCACCCUCGCAACCCUGACAGCUUGGUCUAUAUGGAAGCAGCGCAACCGCUAUGUCUUCGACGGCGAGUCCCCCUCCACCUCCCGGCUUCUUGAGCUUAUCCAGAACGACGCACGUUCUUGGGCUAGGGCUGGAGCUCACGGUUUAAAUGCGCUGCUGGCAUAG